UGGCUCAGUGGUAGAGCACUUGCCUUGCAUGCAUGAGACCCUGGGUUCGAUUCCUCAG
rfam:Dipodomys ordii contig_15950, whole genome shotgun sequence.